AUUGAACGCUGGCGGCAGGCUUAACACAUGCAAGUCGAGCGGGGGAAGGUAGCUUGCUACCGGACCUAGCGGCGGACGGGUGAGUAAUGCUUAGGAAUCUGCCUAUUAGUGGGGGACAACAUCUCGAAAGGGAUGCUAAUACCGCAUACGUCCUACGGGAGAAAGCAGGGGAUCUUCGGACCUUGCGCUAAUAGAUGAGCCUAAGUCGGAUUAGCUAGUUGGUGGGGUAAAGGCCUACCAAGGCGACGAUCUGUAGCGGGUCUGAGAGGAUGAUCCGCCACACUGGGACUGAGACACGGCCCAGACUCCUACGGGAGGCAGCAGUGGGGAAUAUUGGACAAUGGGGGGAACCCUGAUCCAGCCAUGCCGCGUGUGUGAAGAAGGCCUUAUGGUUGUAAAGCACUUUAAGCGAGGAGGAGGCUCUUUUGGUUAAUACCCAAGAUGAGUGGACGUUACUCGCAGAAUAAGCACCGGCUAACUCUGUGCCAGCCGCCGCAGUAAUAC
rnacentral:rRNA from 1 species